UGCCCUACACUGUAAAAAAAUACUGUGAUUUCUACGGGCGUUUAGUAGUAUCUGACGACGGCGUGUUACCGUAAUCACAAAUACUGCGAAAACUACGUAAAACGGUGGCGCCAUCAUCAUGCGCCGGCCAAAAACUUCAAUGCGGAGGCAAGGCCAAGCCAAGUACGGGUCAUUGCCGUCAUUCACAACAGCCGGACGCCGAACAUCGUGCGUGGACGAUCGUUGAGGAAGAAGAACGAAGUGGUCGUUGUAAAUCUCGUGAAUGCACGUAGCCAGUGUUUUGAUGCCAGAGCUGACUGAUGGGUGCACAUGGCUCCUUCGAAUGUUCUUCCUUUGAAAAAAUAAACAUGUUUUGAUGCCAGAGCUGACUGAUGGGUGCACAUGGCUCCUUCGAAUGUUCUUCCUUUGAAAAAAUAAACAUGUCUUGAUGCCAGAGCUGACUGAUGGGUGCACAUGGUUCCUUCGAAUGUUCUUCCUUUGAAAAAAUAAACGGGUUUUGAUGCCAGAGGUGAUUGGCGCAUUUUCAUCACUAUGUACAUAGAAAAUAAAUCCCGAUGUGACAAACAUCACAA